GCACCCGUAGCUUAACUGGAUAGAGCAUCUGACUACGGAUCAGAAGGUUAGGGGUUCGACUCCCUUCGGGUGCA
rnacentral:tRNA from 1 species